UGGGGAAUAUUGGACAAUGGGCGCAAGCCUGACCCAGCAACGCCGCGUGAAGGAUGAAGUAUUUCGGUAUGUAAACUUCGAAAGAAUAGGAAGAAUAAAUGACGGUACUAUUUAUAAGGUCCGGCUAACUACGUGCCAGCAGCCGCGGUAAUACGUAGGGAGCAAGCGUUGUUCGGAUUUACUGGGCGUAAAGGGCGCGUAGGCGGCGCGGUAAGUCACUUGUGAAAUCUCUGAGCUUAACUCAGAACGGCCAAGUGAUACUGCAGUGCUAGAGUGCAGAAGGGGCAAUCGGAAUUCUUGGUGUAGCGGUGAAAUGCGUAGAUAUCGGGAGGAACACCUGUGGCGAAGGCGGCCACCUGGUUGGAUACUGACGCUGAGACGCGAAAGCGUGGGGAGCAAACAGGAUUAGAUACCCCCGUAGUCCCUGAGCGGGCUGGCAAGGCGCAU
rnacentral:rRNA from 1 species